rnacentral:rRNA from 1 species
AUUGAACGCUGGCGGCAUGCCUUACACAUGCAAGUCGAACGGUAACAGGUCUUCGGAUGCUGACGAGUGGCGAACGGGUGAGUAAUACAUCGGAACGUGCCUAGUAGUGGGGGAUAACUACUCGAAAGAGUGGCUAAUACCGCAUGAGAUCUACGGAUGAAAGCAGGGGAUCGCAAGACCUUGUGCUACUAUAGCGGCCGAUGGCAGAUUAGGUUGUUGGUGGGAUAAAAGCUUACCAAGCCGACGAUUGGUAGCUGGUCUGAGAGGACGAUCAGCCACACUGGGACUGAGACACGGCCCAGACUCCGACGGGAGGCAGCAGUGGGGAAUUUUGGACAAUGGGCGCAAGCCUGAUCCAGCAAUGCCGCGUGCAGGAUGAAGGCCUUCGGGUUGUAAACUGCUUUUGUACGGAACGAAAAGCCCUGGGUUAAUACCCUGGGGUCAUGACGGUACCGUAAGAAUAGCACCGGCUAACUACGUGCCAGCAGCCGCGGUAA